rfam:TPA: Bos taurus chromosome 7, whole genome shotgun sequence.
UCCCUGGUGGCUCAGAGGUUAAAGCAUCUGCCCGCAAUGCGGGAGAUCUGGGUUUGAUCCCUGGGUCAGGGAA